UCCGGCGCACGGCCGCAGCGCAGCGAGGAAGCGCCGCCGCCUCCCGCCGUGCCCCCGCGCUCACCCCGCUCCCGCCCAGCCCGAAGCGCCGCGAGCCCCGCGAGCCCCGGGCGGUGUGCGGCGCGGGGCGGGAGCGGGCGGGCGGCGCGGCCCUUACCUCGCGGCGGCGCGGGGCUCCGGUCACGGCCACGCGGCGCUAUCGCCGGGGGAUCCUUUAACAGCCCUUAAAUAUUGAAGCCUAAAAACAAUAUUUGCUGUUUUACCUUUGAAGCGUUAACAAAAGCUUUGUUUUAGCGUUUACCUCGGUGUGCAAUAAGAGUUAAUAAUCAAAUCCGUCCCAACCCCCACAAAUGUUAAACAAAAAGAUAAAAGAAAUGCAAAUAGCUAUUGUCAUGGAAAGUUAAAGUACCUGUCUGUAUUUUUAAGUGAAAACUAUUAUCUCUAUCAAUCAAAAUUUAAGAACACAAUAGCGCUAAUCACACGAGGUGCUGUGACUGAGGCACUUUUCCCUCAUAAAAAAGUUUUUUUUUUUCCUUUUUUUUUUUUUUUUUUCUUUUCUCUUUUUUAACCCGGUGCACAGAAGCGCCGCGCUCCCCGUUACAGACGGCGCGAGCGAUGGCGGUGCGGCACCCCCGGCGCCCCCCGGCUCCCCACCGUCAGCGCCGCGCCAGGCGGGCGGAUCGCGCCGCGCACCGCAGUGCCCGCACGCCGUGCUCAGGUUGGUGAAAUCCUCCUCGCUCCUCGCACUUCCCAACAUGUGGUGGAACAGCACACUCUUCUGUUUGAGAGGAGUUACUCAAACGGAGGAAAUAGUUAAUUGCUCGCCCCAACUACCGCCGCCGGCCUCGGCGCGCAGCGCCCGCGGCUCUCCCGGCGCCCCGGCGGCACUCCGGAGAUGCGCCCUUUGUCACCCGGCCGCAAUGGCCACGCCGGGCCCUCCCGCCGGACCCCGCGCUCAGGGUGUGCUCGGAAGUCAUUUUUAAAACUAAUCUGUUCCGACCGAGCCAGAAAGCGAGCCGCACGGUUAAUAAGGGCGAGCGCGAGCGGCAGUAAUUACAGCCGCACUAAAAGAAAGAGCUGCAGAUGAAAACACCUCCAGCCGGCAGAGCAGUUGAGGAUGCCAUGAUGAAGCCUGGCGGAGGGCUGCCUCCCUCGCCCAGCAGCAGCAGGACUGUCAUUUUUUCCCCCAGCGCUAUCAGGUUUCCCACUGCACAGCCCCGCCGCUCUGCAUCACGGCUAACAUCUCCAGUGUGCUAUUAAUAUCAAUGAAGAGACGAUUCAAUUUCCACAUAAGAAAAACCUUCCUCUCACAGCACAGACGUUCUGGUGAGGACCCUUGCUAAGGAAACAAUAAAGACCAGAGGGGUUGGAUUUUUUUUUUUCCUCUUUUUUUUUUUUUUUUUUGUGCUGCUGCUCUCGCAGUCCUGUGUUGCACACUGUUGGAAAGCUUUUAGCUAACAAUGGCAGCAUUAUCUUCGGGAUAGUUACAAAACAGGAUUUGUUAGUACAAAGAAUAACAACACCGAACUCACUCCCCGCUGCCCCCCCCGCCAAUACCUGCCUAUUGCAGCACGGCGUUUCGGACUUUACUCGGAGUAUAUUCCAGAAACACCUGUAUUCCUCAGCCAAUUCCUGCUGCAAACUGCCCCAGCACACCCACUGUGCUUCAGGAGCUUCGGACGAGUCAAACAAACAAACAAACAAUCGCUCUCUGCGUUUGUAAAACGGAACAGAAACAAAAGUAGCUCACCCUGCCGUGGUGCAAACUUACCCAUUAAUGAGGAAGAAAAAGCCUUAGAGCUGCAAGUAAUUCCCAACCAACUGCAGAAAGUUGAGAGUUUGAGAACACCAAAGCACUUCGGACUAUCCAGCCUUUCUGUGCCUCAACACUGGCUGCAGUGUAAGGAAGGACUGAAGAAUGAAGAAGCGAAAUGUGAAGGCAAUUGGAAUUCACCAGUGUCCCUCCCUGGACUCAAGGAGUCAAAUCGCACUGACCUCUUUUUGUAAGUCCUAGCUACAUGUUGGUUUUAGUAAUUUAAUUAUUUUUUAAUAACUUGCAGUAUUAAAUGAUUGCCACUGAAACACAAAUACGAUUAUACUCCCCUGCCUUUCCCUCCUGUGCCCCGGACUGCCGCCCGACGUGGACAACAUGACUGCUUUCGACACCGACAUUUCAUUCUGCAAGACCACUCAGGCACACAGAAAGCAGCACACGGUUACUGGGUUCCCAAGCACGUGCUGCAGAUCGUGUCAAAGGAUACUGGACAUAACUAACAGUUUUAAUGAGACUCAAACGCGUUCGGUUCAACUAAGCACUCCUACAGAACGGAGGGAGUUUUCACUUUCCCUUGGAUUAAACUCACCGUGUUAAAACCAAAUUGCUAACAAGAGCUAGUCAAGCCUAACAAGAUAAAAAUCCCCCACACAGAAAAUCCUGCAAGAAAUUUUAGAGCCCCCGUAUCACUCACUGUUUUUGCAUUGAAAUGACCUUCCAAAUAAGGUGUUAAAUAAUACGGUUCGCAUAGAUGAUAGUGAUCUAACCUUGAUGCAAAUAAACCAUAGAACAAAAUUUAAUCAGU